rnacentral:misc_RNA from 1 species
GUGAAUCAUCAAAUCUUUGAACGCAAAUUGCACUCUCUUCGGAGAGUAUGCCUGUUUGAGGGUCAGCCUAAAAAAAAUCGACAUAGUCGCUGUUUCGCGGUGACAUUCGUCGGAAAUUGGGUCAUCUUAAACCUUUUGGUUUUAAGCGGCUUAAAAUUUUCUUUACGAUUCCACGAACGUUUCUAAGAUUUCGUUACCGGUUAAGGGAACGGAUGUUGUUU